rfam:Candidatus Baumannia cicadellinicola strain B-GSS, complete genome.
UAAUGUUUAUGAAGUUAAAUUAUAGAUAUUUUUUAGAUAAAUAAAUUAUUAGGAGUGCAUCGUGGCCCGUAUAGCCGGCAUAAAUAUCCCUGAU